rnacentral:rRNA from 1 species
UACGUAGGGGGCAAGCGUUAUCCGGAUUUACUGGGUGUAAAGGGGGCGCAGACGGCGAUGCAAGCCAGGAGUGAAAGCCCGGGGCCCAACCCCGGGACUGCUCUUGGAACUGCGUGGCUGGAGUGCAGGAGGGGCAGGCGGAAUUCCUGGUGUAGCGGUGAAAUGCGUAGAUAUCAGGAGGAACACCGGUGGCGAAGGCGGCUUACUGGACUGUAACUGACGUUGAGGCUCGAAAGCGUGGGGAGCAAACAGG